UACGAAGGGGGCUAGCGUUGCUCGGAAUCACUGGGCGUAAAGCGUGCGCAGGCGGUUAUGUAAGGCAGUUGUGAAAUCCCCGGGCUCAACCUGGGAAUUGCAUCUGUGACUGCAUAGCUAGAGUACGGUAGAGGGGGAUGGAAUUCCGCGUGUAGCAGUGAAAUGCGUAGAUAUGCGGAGGAACACCGAUGGCGAAGGCAAUCCCCUGGACCUGUACUGACGCUCAUGCACGAAAGCGUGGGGAGCAAACAGG
rnacentral:rRNA from 1 species